rnacentral:rRNA from 1 species
CAGCAGCCACGGGAAUACGUAGGGUGCAAGCGUUAAUCGGAAUUACUGGGCGUAAAGCGUGCGCAGGCGGUUCGCUAAGACAGAUGUGAAAUCCCCGGGCUUAACCUGGGAACUGCAUUUGUGACUGGCGGGCUAGAGUAUGGCAGAGGGGGGUAGAAUUCCACGUGUAGCAGUGAAAUGCGUAGAGAUGUGGAGGAAUACCGAUGGCGAAGGCAGCCCCCUGGGCCAAUACUGACGCUCAUGCACGAAAGCGUGGGGAGCAAACAGGAUUAGAUACCCCUGUAGUCCCUGUCUCUUAUAA